rnacentral:rRNA from 1 species
UACGUAGGUGGCAAGCGUUGUCCGGAAUUAUCGGGCGUAAAGCGCGCGCAGGCGGUCUCUUAAGUCUGAUGUGAAAGCCCACGGCUCAACCGUGGAGGGUCAUUGGAAACUGGGGGACUUGAGUGCAGGAGAGAAGAGUGGAAUUCCACGUGUAGCGGUGAAAUGCGUAGAGAUGUGGAGGAACACCAGUGGCGAAGGCGACUCUUUGGCCUGUAACUGACGCUGAGGCGCGAAAGCGUGGGGAGCAAACAGG